UACGUAGGGCGCGAGCGUUGUCCGGAAUUAUUGGGCGUAAAGGGCUCGUAGGCGGCUUGUCACGUCGGGUGUGAAAGCUUGGGGCUUAACUCCAGGUCUGCAUUCGAUACGGGCAGGCUAGAGGUAGGCAGGGGAGAACGGAAUUCCUGGUGUAGCGGUGAAAUGCGCAGAUAUCAGGAGGAACACCGGUGGCGAAGGCGGUUCUCUGGGCCGUACCUGACGCUGAGGAGCGAAAGCGUGGGGAGCGAACAGG
rnacentral:rRNA from 1 species